rnacentral:rRNA from 1 species
UGCAAAUGUAUCCUCAGGUCGAAUGGAGAUUAGCUCUUGAAUCAAAGGUAGAAAAGGAGCUUGAUAGCAAGAUCGUCUGUCGAUUAAGGGACGAAAGUCGACCUUAAUGAUUCAAUGGUGAUGAAUAGAAAGGCCAUCACUCAA